AGUAGUCUUGAUUAUCAUCGUACCUAGAUGAUGAGCAAAAAAUUAUUACUAGACAGUUUUAUGCCAAUGAAACACAUUGUAAAUUAGUUGCGCGUAAAGGAAUUUUUCCAUAAUUAUUGGGCAAAAUUGCAAGAUACGUGUCUGCCACCUAGGGAAAAGUUUUAUAGCAAAAUUCAAAGUUGUGAAAUCUCUGGUGAAGACUAUGCACACGCAUGCAACGUUUGGAAUACUUUCAAAAUUAAAACAUUACAAGAAUAUGCAGAGUUAUAUCUCAAAACAGACGUUUUACUUCUGGCUGAUAUUUUUGAAAAUUUUAGAAAGACAUGUAUAAAAACAUACAAACUCGAUAGUCUACAUUACUACACUGCCCCUGGUUUAGCAUUUGAUAUUAUGCUAAAAAUAACUAAAAUUAAAUUAGAACUACUUACAGACAUUGACAUGGUGAUGUUCAUUGAAAAAGGUAUUCGAGGGGGAAUUUCUCAGUGUAGCAAUCGUUAUGGAAAAGCAAAUAAUCCAUACAUGGGAAACGCUUAUAAUCCCAAUGAGCCCUCUUCAUAUCUUAUGUAUUUUGAUGUCAAUAAUCUUUACGGUGCAGCAAUGAGCUGUUAUCUUCCAUACGGUAAUUUUCAAUGGGUGCAGGUUAUUGAAUUUUACAAUGAAAAUUGUAUGUCCUGAAGAUAAUGACUACGGCUACAUUUUUGAAGUUGAUCUUUGUUACCUUAAAGAAAUCUUUGAGACACACAAAGACUUACCAGUUUGUCCUGAACAUUUAGUUCCACCUAUUUCAGAAUCUGAAUGUCCAAAAUUAUUGACUACUUUAUAUGACAAAAAAAAUAUGUGAUUCAUUACAGAAAUUUACAGCAAGCCAUUCGUUUAGGUUUAAGACUUGUAAAAAUUCAUAGGUGUUUGAAGUUUAAGCAAUCAAAGUGGUUAAAAGAAUAUAUAGAUUUAAAUACUAAUUUACGGAAAGAAAGUCGAAACGAAUUCGAAAAGAAUUUUUAUAAAUUAAUGAACAACGCAGUCUUUGGAAAGACUAUUGAAAAUGUAAAAAAAUAUCGUGAAGUCAAAUUGGUAACUAAAUGGUCAGGAAGGUUUGGAGCAAAUUACUAUAUCUCACAACCUAAUUUCCACAGUUGUAUUAUAAUCGACAAAAAAACGUAGUGCUAAUGGAAAUGAAAAAAUUAAACGUUAACUUUAACAAACCGAUUUACGUGGGUAUGUGUAUAUUAGACAUUUCAAAAAUAUUUUUGUAUGACUUCCAUUAUAGCUACGUAAAACAAAAAUUUGGUCAAAAUGGAAAAUUAUUAUACACUGAUACUGAUAGUCUAAUUUACCAUUUUUUGUUGAUGAUAUGUACAAACACAUCAAGGAAGAUAUUGAGAAGUUUGAUACUUCUGAUUAUCCUCCUAAUAAUGCUUACCAAAUUCCAUUAGCAAACAAAAAAGUUUUAGGGUUAACGAAAGAUGAAAAUAAUGGUGCUAUAAUGACUGAAUUUAUCGGAUUACGUUCAAAAAUGUACCUGCAAGGACUAUUAACCACUUCUCAGGAAAAAGAUGUACAACUUCAAAAGAUGUAUGAUAAGCAAUUUACACAAAUAGAAAUUGAAAAUUUCCUAUCAAACUUUGGAGUGAUCAAAAAGGCUAAAUGAAUUCAGAAGCCGGUUUUAAAGGAAAUUACAUUUGAUGAUUAUUAUGAUGCUUUAUUCAAUAAUCAAAAAGUAUUUGUUUUCCAAAAUUCUAUAAGAACUGAAAAGCAUGAGGUUUACACAAUCGAGCAAAAUAAACUUGCAUUGAAUCCUCAAUAUGAUAAACGCAUGGUGAAUUAUUUAAGUACAGACACAUUGCCAUGGGGUUUUCUUGAUGAAGUUGGUUUCUUUCGAUAAAGUUAAAGAUAAAACUUUUUUUUGUUUUAACAUAAUCUACUUCAUACAAUCUCAAUUUUGUUGCUUGAAAAGGAACACACUAAUUUCCUAAAACUAUCACGUUUGUAAAAAAACCUUUGCAUCAAUGUAACUUUUUACAAACACCUAAAAACAAGGGUGUGCUUCAAGAAAGUAAAGCAGAAUUUCAAAAGUUGCAAAAUGAGAAUAGAAGAUGUUUUGUGGCUGGAGGCUACGCAGCAUUUUUGUUAAAACGUACAUCGCGUUAUAGCGAUGUAGACGUAUUUGUUGAAGGCCAUCCCACUGACGCUGAGAAAAAACAAAUUGACGAACAACGUAAAGACGAUUAUAAGAUGUUAAAAUAUAAAAAUUUUUACUAUUGGUGUAGUAAUAUAAAAUUUAAUGUAAUAUUUUUGGGUAAAGUGGCAGAAUACGACUGGAAAAGUUUUAUAGCAAAGUGUAUCAGUGAAUUUGAUCUGCCGAUAUGCCGUGUGGCAUUUUUUUUUAUCCACCAAUCAAUUUGAAGUAAUAAUGGACGAGAUGGCAGAUCUUACUGUUGCAAUGAAUGCCAAUGCAAGCAUGUUACGUAUUUUAAAGUAUAUAAAUAGAUCUAAUUUUAAUUAAUGGGGUAGUAGCAGCAACUUCAGAAAUUAAGAAAAAAAAUUGGGACGCAAUAUUGUCACAGUUGUAGGAUUUUUUCUGUUUCUGUAUAAGUUCAAUAUCAAUCCAUCUAUCACCCGCACCAAAGGACAACAAAGCAAUUUCGAUUUGUGAAUUUUUGGUUUGUGGUGAAAGUUUAAAAAGCAGUGACGAUGAAGACUAAUACAACUGAAAAAGCUGCAAAAGUUCACUUACUUAGAGACAAACUUAAGCGUAGCUAUGUUUACACAAGUGAACUGCGUAACAUUAGUGGUGUACUGUCGAGUGGAAAGUUAAGUGUUGGUGAUGUAAGUAGGCUAGUAGAAAAACCAGUAUUACCUAAUAAAGUUAAGAUAGGUAUAAGAAAGGAAUAUAAUCUUCCGAAUCACACUGAAGAAAGUGAUUAUGAUUCACAAGAAACAAUAGCUAAUAAUUAAUUUUUAAGUUUAUUUGUUAGUUUUUUUUUAUAAGAUCCAAUGUGUAAUUUUUUUAUA